rnacentral:lncRNA from 1 species
CAAAUUAGGGAAGUUAUUUUGCACCAAGUAUUUUAUUUAAAACCCAUUAUCAAAAUCACUUCCCAAAACCACAAUAUUAUUAUUUUAAAGAUUAUUUUACUAUUUCAUUUAAAUGCCUUCCUGUGAGGCCAGAAAUGGUCUCUUAUGAAGGAAAGUUAUUUUUAUUGCUUCCAAAAUAAUUGAGAAAAUUUAGGGAAACUCAAUGGACAUAUACAUUCCAUAUAUAUGAGUUUCAACACAUGGUCAUGUUCAAAAC